rnacentral:lncRNA from 1 species
AUUCUUGGAGCUCGGUUCCGCGGUCGGUCCGGAUCUCCCGGGAAGUCUCGCCGGAGUCAGGCAGGCCUUAGGAAGAAGCUGCCUGAUGUGCAAGGUUUCAUAGGCCGUCAGAGGGGGCAUCCUGGAGGAGCCCUGGCAUCAGGAAAGUGAGCCCCCCAUGGCAGCCCGCAGGAAUGAACCAGUGCUCAGGUAUAUGGAACACUCCUUGCAUCAAAGCUGGCACGUGUGAAGAGGCGGGAAGGGACUCUUCCAUAACUGAGACACCAUUACCUCAGAGAAAAAUUAAACAGAUUAUCACCAAAAACGGGGGUGGGGGGAGGACAUACCUACCAGUGGUCAAGUGCCAAGGCAUCCCUGCUCUUCUAGAGCUGGUUAUCCUCAGGAAGAGAUUACUACACGCCCUCAGGGCAGAAGCUGACCCCCCUCCCCGAGGUGGACUUGCAGGCAAGAGCAACACUUUUAAGGCAGGUCACACUGGUGGUUUCUCCCUACCCUGGUUAAGACCCCCACUACCUCUACUCCCAUCUCCUCUCCCUUCCCCAUAGCAAAGCAUAGUCUGCAUUUUCUAGUCCCCUCAAGUCAAGGCAGGCCAGGGGCUCCAAGGGCAGGCCCACCUCUUUCUUCUAAGAUUUUUUGUGUGUGUGUGACGGAGUCUCACUCUGUCGCCCAGGCUGGAGUGCAGUGGCGCGAUCUUGGCUCACUGCAACCUCUGCCUUCCGGGUUCAAGCAAUUCUCCUGCCUCAGCCUACCAAGUAGCUGGCAUGCGCCACCAUGGCGGGCCAAUUUUUUUUUUUGUAUUUUUAUUUAUUAUUAUUUAGUUUUAAUUUUUUAAUUAUAAUUUUUUUUUUUUUUUUGAUACAGAGUCUCGCUCUGUCGCCAGGCUGGAGUACAGUGGUGUGAUCUCAGCUCACCGAAAGCUCCGCCUCCCGGGUUCAAGCAAUUCUCCUGUCUCAGCCUCCCAAGUAGCUGGGACUACAGGUGCCCGCCACAAUGCCCGGCUAAUUUUUAUAUUUUUAGUAGAGACAGGGUUUCACCAUGUUGGCCAGGCUGGUCUCAAACUCGUGACCUCAGGUGUUCCACCCACCUUGGCCUCCCAAAGUGCUGGAAUUACAGACAUAAGGCACCACACCCAGACCAAAUCUCCUAAAUUCUUAAAUAUAAUAAACCAACCAACAGAACCAUAAUUUUACCAAGGAUCUCAUGGCUUUCUCAUACCUUUUCUGGAAUGAAGUUGAGACUAUUUCCCUCUAGCCUUUUUUUUUUUUCCCCGAGACAGAGUCUUGCUCUGUCACCCAGGCUGGAGUGCAGUGGCUUCAUCUCGGCUCACUGCAACCUCUGCCUCCCGGGUUCAAGCAAUUCUCCUGCCUCAGCCUCCCAAGUAGCUGGGAUUACAGGCACGUGCCACCACGCCCAGCUAAUUUUUAUAUUUUUAAUAAAGAUGGGGUUUCACCAUGUUGGCCAAGCUGGUCUCAAACUCCUGACCUCGUGAUCCGCCCGCCUUGGCCUCCCAAAGUGCUGGGAUUACAGGCAUGAGCCACCGCGACCGGCCCCUCUAGCCUUUUAAAAACUAGAAUUUGAUCACCAUAAAAUCUGUACUUUGCUUAACCUAUUUUCCUGAACUCCAUUCUUACACCUAUUACCUGAACUAGGCCUACCACUAAGCACAGGUACUGAUAGCUCAUUGCCAGACAACAGAAAGCAAGCAGGUUGCAGGGCUGCUCCACCUGCUGUCAGCUGUGGGAAUUUCACAACCACAUCAGAAACCAGAAUUUCUCAGUCUUUUAAAAGCCUGGCCCUUUGAUGCCAUGACAAUACAUACUACCAAAUCCAGGCCUUCUAUUGAUCUGUAUUCUUUUUUUUUUUUGAGGUGGAGUCUCGCUCUGUCGCCCAGGCUGGAGUGCAGUGGUGCCAUCUCGGCUGACUGCAAGCUCUGCCUCCCGGGUUCACGCCAUUCUCCUGCCUCAGCCUCCUGAGUAGCUGGGACUACAGGUGCCUGCCACCACGCCCGGCUAAUUUUUUUGUAUUUGUUUUUUAGUAGAGAUGGGGUUUCACUGUGUUAGCCAGGAUGUUCUCGAUCUCCUUGCCUUGGCCUCCCAAAGUGCUGGGAUUACAGGAGUGAGCCACUGUGCCUGGCCUUUUUUUUUUUUUUUUUUUUUUUUAGACAGUCUCGCUCUGUCGUGCCCAGGCUGGAGUGCAGUGGCGCGAUCUCAGCUUACUGCAACCUCUGCCUUCUGGGUUGAAGCUAUUCCCCUGCCUCAGCCUCCAGAGUAGCUGGGAUUACAGGCACCUACCACCAGGCCUGGCUAAUUUUUUGUAUAUUUUAGUAGAGGUGGGGUUUCACCAUGUUGGUCAGGCUGGUCUCAAACUCCUGACUGCAGGUGAUCCGCCCCCUCGGCCUCCCAAAGUGCUGGGAUUACAGGCAUGAGCCACCACGCCUGGCCUGUUUAAGACAGGGUCUUGCUCUGUCACCCAGGCUGGAGUGCAGUGGUGUGAUCACAGCUUUCUGCAGCACCUACCCCCAGGCCCAAGCAAUCCUCCUAGCUCAGCCUCCCAAGUAGCUGGGAUUACAGGUGUGCAGCACCACGCCCAGCUAAUUUUUAUUUUUUAUUUUUGUA